GUGCUGUCCAGUAAUGCUAGAUUUUAUUUGACCAAGCUGAUUAAGAUAUGAAUUAUUAUGACAGUUUUCUAAGAAAAUAUAUUAUAAUAACUUUUUAUGGAUUACCUUUUUAUAAUAUAAGAAAAGAUUUACAAAGACGCAUUCGUCCCUUGUUGGAGUAUUAAACGAAUUUUGGUGAUUCCAAAUAUAGCCAUGUAUGAUCUUAUUUAGAUGGACGCUUCCCAUUAAGGAAGUAAUUUUUAUUCUCACACAUAGAGUAUGUUCAGUACAUGGUACUUCAUGGGGUGCUACCAUUAAAAGUUUAGUUGUUUAAGACCAUUAAAAUUUAAUAAAUAAAAAGAAGAAAAAAAACAAAAAAAAAAUUAUUUGUUUAAGACCAUUAAAAUUAAAAUAAAAUUUAAUAAAUAAAAAGAAGAAAAAAACAAAUGAUUUAUAGUGGUGCUACCAUAGUCAAAGACAUAACUCAGU
rnacentral:lncRNA from 1 species